CGCACGGCUCUGAGGAGCCGGUACCCAUCAGUCACUGUGACAGCCCCACAGUACGUAUCAAUGUAAUUUGUUUACUGACUUCUGAAUACUCAGUCCCUCCAAGGAGAGGCACAGACCCCCACGUGCCGGGAAAGCUGAAGAACAUGGAAAUACAGACACUCCCUGGCAGCUCGCAGUGGCGCCCCUAAAAAUCUCCCAGACUGCACUUCAGCUUUCGACUUGGGUGGGACCUGGCCUUGACUCAGAACAGAAGGACAAAACGGGCACAGAGGAAAAAGUGGAAACUUUGACCAAAUUAUUUUUUCUCAAAUCAACUUUCAACCAAACCUGACAAGUACUGUGAUUAAUGAACUAGAAACAGUGCAAAGAUGCUUUGGGAUCCCCU
rnacentral:lncRNA from 1 species